GGCACUAACGUGAACGUAGGAGGCAAAGGCGGUACUGGGGUGAACACCGGGAAGGGAACCAACGUUGGUGUUGGCAAAGGAGGAGUGUCCGUAAACACAGGGCACAAGGGAAAGCCCGUGUAUGUUGGAGUAAAACCAGGACCAGACCCUUUUAACUACCAGUAUGCAGCCACCGAAACCCAACUCCAUCAAGACCCAAACGUUGCUAUUUUCUUCUUGGAGAAAGACAUGCGUCCUGGAACAACAAUGAACUUGCACUUCACCACAAAUUCAAACACGCAAACUUUUGUGCCGCGCGAAACUGCGGAAUCCAUCCCAUUUUCGUCCAACAAGCUGCCAGAAAUCUUCAACCAAUUUUCAGUGAAAUCGGGUUCCGUGGAAGCGGAUAUAAUCAAGGGUACAAUUCAAGAGUGUGAGAAUCCAGCCAUUAGAGGAGAGGAGAAAUAUUGUGCUACCUCUUUGGAGUCCAUGAUUGACUUUAGCACUUCUAAGCUUGGAGGAGGAAAUGUUCGAGCAAUUUCGACAGAAGCCGGAAAAGGAGCUACAUUGCAGAAGUACACAAUAACUUCUGGAGUGAAGAAGUUGGCGGCGGAUAAGUCGGUCGUGUGUCACAAGCAGAACUAUCCCUAUGCUGUCUUUUACUGCCAUGCAACAAAAACAACAAGAGCUUAUGUGGUGCCCCUGAAAGGUGCUGAUGGGGUGAAUGUUAAAGCAGUAGCAGUCUGCCAUACAGACACAUCGGAGUGGAACCCUAAUCAUUUGGCCUUCCAAGUUCUCAAAGUUAAGCCGGGAACUGUUCCGGUCUGCCAUUUCCUUCCCAGUGAUCAUGUUGUCUGGGUUCCAAACCAGAAAUCUACCUGAUUUGACUGAUCAACCCUUGAGUUCUACGUAUGAUGAUGUGAUCAGCUCAAUCAGCAUAGUUUGAGUGGCAAGAGUUUGAAAUUAAAUCGACCGUCGAUUACUUCUUAUUGUCACUAUGUAUUUCAGCCUAUAUAUAUACUCAUAAAUGAAAGCAUACUAUCGUGUGGACUUGUACCAAAAAGCAUGCUAGUGGACAUGCUCUACUACAUUCAGUAAUAGUUAUAUAUGCUUUGAUUCUGUGGUGCCAUCUGUCCACUGGUUCAGUUUUAAAUUGUCGUGCUAUUAUAUGCAUGAUACACGGGUUUCAUCUCCUUUGUCUUAGGAGAGGGAGGGAGUUGAGUACGUUGCAUGUCGAUAAUUAACAAAUUUUGUAUAUACUUAUAAGGAAGUGGAACCUUAAUUUCUUUUACGAUCUAAUCAAAGCAGUUACCCAGGGACUGCCAAGAAGCUAAAAUCCCAAACCAAGGAGGGCACCAGAUAACAAAGGGAAGUUUCAUUUGUACAAAUAAAAAUCCACAAAAAAAUCUCGCCACAAAAGUACAAAUUCAAAAAAAAAAUCAGGCCACUAUUGCAUGCUUCAAAAUUAAAGAAAAUUUCAGGCCACUGCAUGCUCUUGCUUUCCGGGUUUUCCCCACAAAGUUUUCUGUUGACAGGUAGGCCGACAAAAAUAUGAGCGCUUCACACCAGGCAAUGGCAAGGGCUGCAUGUUUUACACCUAAUCCCAACAAAUUUGGUAGUUCACCUUCUUACUUCCCCAUAAAUAUUGAACCCAUAUGCUACUGUUUACCAUAUCUCUCUGAGUUUUCAUGUUUCAUCCAGUAAUUUUCGUUUGUGUUGCAAAAGUUGAGUCUUAAUGGGGUUCCUUCUCUCCAGAAUCUUUGCUUUUCUAACUGUAAGUAAGAGCUGUAAUUUUGAAUCCUCCCUGUUACUAUAGUUAAUUUGAUUGAUCUUAUGUUUUUGCUAAUUUUAUUUUCUUUCUCUCUUACUAAUUGUGCGAGUUUAAUUUCAGCUCACACUGGUGGGUGUCCAUGCUGCUUUACCUUUGUCACCUCAGCUUUACUGGAAUUCCGUCCAGCCAAACUCACCAAUGCCGAAGAUAUCAGUCAACUAGUCCAGACUGGUUAGUAUCUAUGUACAACCUCAGAUUGGCUUCAAAAACUCAUUUCCACAACCAAUCGUCCUUGUGAUUUACACAUGUUUUCACUUUUGCACAAGAAGAAAAAGAGGCAACAACCGCGGAACAAGUUUGGCUGUUGUUACUAGCCUAGCGAUUGCUAAAUACGUGACAAAAAGUUAAAAAAGCGCACCAAAAAGUAAAAAAUUAUGACAUACUGUUUGUCACGCUUCUAGGAAUAGCUACACUAGAAAUAGCACCCUGGCUCCAUAGCUAUUUAUGUUGGUAAAUCCGCAGACUUCAUUACUGUUGGCAAAGGGGGAGUUAUUGUUCAUAACCAAGUUGCAGAUGUUGCAACUAACGUUCAAUAUCUUUACCGGGAUGAUUCAACUGAAGGCAAGAUGCAGAUCAAAAAGUAAAGACAUAAAGAUGCUGCUGAAAAUCCAACACUUGAAGACCCAACUCGAGUAAUUUUCUUCUUGGAGAAGGACAUUCAUCCUGGCACAACAGUGAAUUAUCACUUAUCCGGAAAUUCAACCAGAGAAACUUUCCUGUCCCGCAAGACUGCAGAGUCCAUCCCCUUCGGCUCAAGCAAAUUGGCAGAAAUUCUUAACCGAUUUUCAGUGAAACCGGGGUCUUUGGAAGCCGACAUAAUGAAAGAAACCAUCCAAUAUUGUGAAGGGGUGGCCAUGAGAGCCGAAGAAAAAUAUUGUGGUACCUCUCUAGAGUCGAUGAUUGACUUCACCACCUCCAAGCUUUGAAGAAAUAAUAUUAAAGCAAUCACGACGGAGGUGGAAAAAGGAGCUGCCCCGCUGCAGAAUUACACAAUAACCCCUGGAGUGAAAAAGCUGGCAGGCAACAAACUUAUUGUGUGCCAUAAGAUGAUCUAUCCAUAUGCCGUUUUCUACUGCCAUGCAAUUGAAAAAACAAGGACUUUUAUUGUGCCUCUCAAAGGCGCUGACGGGACGAAUGCUAAAGCAGUAGCAGCCUGCCAUGAAGACACAUCUGAAUGGAGCCCAAAACAUUUUGCCUUCAAAGAGCUCAAUUUUGAGCCAGGAACAACUGAAUCCCAUUUGCCAUUUUCUUAAAAACGAGAAUGUUGGUUGGGUUUCAAAACAAAAACCUACAUGAGUUGAAUCCGCCGCUCGGGUCCUCUACUUGAUUAUGUAGCCCAUCAAUAGGAGUAAUUAGCCCGCUCCAUUAAUAAAAACAAUCGCAUGAGACAGAUGAGCUGUUUAUGUCUGAGACUGCGUACUCACUUCAUAACAUAUUCUUAUUACUCAUUAGCAACGCAAAAUUCCCUCUUGUAAUAGAGACGAAAAAAGUACCACCCCCCCCCCCCUUCCCAAAAUAAAAGCAAAGAAAAAAAAUAGAUGAGUAUAUUUUAUUGUAUCUCUUAAUCUUAUCCUACCUCCCAUAUCAAUAAUUUGAAUGAAAAAAAUAAGAGUAAUGCUAAAGAAACUAAAUUUGAAGAUUAAAAUUGCAAACUAAAUGAUGUAUUACUAAUAGAAAUAAGCACGUCUUUUAAGACUUAAGUAAUAAACCAAUCAUCAAUUUCCAUGUUCUUUAGUUUUCAAAAUUUAGUCUCCAAAUUGAGACUCCCUAGCAUUACUCAAAAAAAAAAAAAAAAUAUCAAUGAAUAUGGAAAAAAAUAUAUAUAAAACGGUUGAUCUCUAUUAAACCUGCUAAUGACCCGAAGCAUAAAGUACUUGCUACCGGUGAAAUAAACACUCGCAUUACUCAAAAAUUAAUAAUAUCAAUGAAUAUGGAAAAAAAAUAUAUAAAACGAUUGAUCUCUAUUAAACAUGCUAAUGACCCGAAGCAUAAAGUACUUGCUACCGGUGCAAUAAACACUCGCAUUUGAAGAACUCCUCUAUUGUAUUUGUAAUACAUAAUGGUAAUAUGUAUAUGAUCAGAUUUGUUUAUGCAUAGUUACCCUACUUCCUCUUGUGGAACUCCAGGUUGAGGAGUUAGGAGAUCUACAAGUUUGCUAAAGUGAACCACUCUAUCACACUGAGGAUUUGUUUGAUAAUGAUUUUGUUUGCAAUCUGGGAGAAGUAGUUACAAAUCUGCUAAAGUGAACCACAACAGUCAAUCACAUGACUAAGGGUUUGUGUGAUAAUCGUUUCGCUUUUUUGUAGUUUUCGCCUUUAGUGCUUGCUAUAUGGGAAAAAAAAAAAAAUAUAUAUAUAUAUAUAUAUAUGGAAAGAAAGAAGGAUGAAGGAAAAAUGGUAUAGUGAAUGUAGAUGAAAUAUACAAGGAAUGAUACACACUAAAAACAAAAAAUUUUAAGUUAUUUUCAUCUUCAAAAUUAUGUUUUCAUUCGUUGUUCUCUAUUUUUGAAUCACAAGUUUGAGUGACCAAAAUAGCCUAAGGGUAUAAAUGACAUUCGCAAAAUAUAGGAUGACUCAUCAUCACUCGGUAAGAAGUUGGUUAGUUGGAUCAAAGGUUAAUGUACCUUAGUUGAUAAGCAAAAUCACGAAGACUAAACUUAAUAAUUGAAACAUAAAUGGUCUUAUUUCUAAUUAUGUGCAAAAUGACUUUUUUAGAGGCGUUGUUUUUCUUUUUUGGACAAAGGUAAUUUUCAUUACCAAAAGAGCACAAUUACAGACAAAGAGGCCCAAAUACAUUGUAAACACAAAACAAAAAGUGAACCCCCAACACUAAACAAAAGCUCAACCCGAGAGAAGGGCCCAAAACAGAAAACCUUACAAGACUAACUUCCUCCGUCGUCGUCAAAGAACCGGCAGCCGACCACAAUCCAACAACCUAGGCCAAAGAUCUCACCAAACACAGCGCCAAAGAAGAAGGCUCCAUCUUCCUCCACCAAACACCACACAAAUUGAAACCGCAACCACCAAAGAAAGAAGCCAGAAGGAAAGAACUUUCCCCUAGCAAAAAAAGCCGAAAACGGCAUACAAUUGGAAGGUGGUGGUGUGUACACCAUAUGAGCAGAAGCUCUGCACACCUUCCUAGAAAACCUCGAAACACAGGUGGAAGAGAUGGUUGCAGAAUUGAACAUGUGUGAGAAUGAUGUAGGACAGAAGCAAAUGGAAAAGUAAAAAAAUGGCUGGAUUAGAGUCAUGGAGGUGGAAAAACUUGAGAGAGAAGAAGAAAAAGGAAGGUUGGAAGUGGGACUGUCAGAUCAAGACUGAUGAAAGGUUAGAGCGGAGGUUGCAUGGGGAUUACCAAAAAAGACGGCCAGAAAAACAUGGAGAAAGCCAAUCUCAUAGCUCGAUGUAUCCAGGACUCAAUCUACUAGUCACUCCAUUAAUGUUGAAUUAAAUACUCCAAUUUAUUUCCACACAAAGAAACAAAUCAGAAACGUAAGAAAAAAUUAAGACCACCGCAUGCUCUGCAUUUUCGGUUUCAUCUGGUAUGGAUUAUUGGAUUUUACUGAUAGAUCCAUGUUUUAAUUUGUGAAAUGUUAAGGAGAUUCUCUCAAAGUGACAUUUUUCAUGGACUUUCUGCCUCCUCAUGGUUUUGACACUAUUUUAUAAUGUUGGCACGAAAAUUUUGCUAAAAACACUAAAUGACGUAGAAUCCACGAAUAGUCUUACUUUUGAGAGAAUUUCCUUACUAUUUCUAAUUGAAUUUGAUUCAAAGUUGGGAAUAAAUGUGGAACAUCACACUAGGCAGUGGAAAGGGGCACAUGUUACACCUUAUUGAUGCACAAAACCGGAGGUCUUGGAACAACGUAAAUCCGAUCGUGAAUCUGCAUGAAAUGUAAAUAACACAAGAUGUAUCGUGGUUCAUCCCAAGGUUUGGGCUACGUCCACACUGAUUAUGUAUUUAUCUGAGAGGUGAGGGAAAGAACCUCUGAAUAUGAUAAGGGACGUGAGAGGGGUGAGAAGGCUUAAGAAAUGGCAUCCCCCAAUUGUGAGGGUGAUGGGUCCUUUUAUAGAAUAAUGACUCCUCACUUAUUACAUAUUUGCCAUUUCCUUUAUCACAUAAUUGCAUUUAAGUCCCCCGAGUAUUUGUACAAGAUCUAAAUACGAGGCCCUAAAUAUGGUAUAAACAGUAGUCCCCCAAGUCUUCGGUCAAUAGAGUCUUUUGGCUGGAGACUUGAAAUUCAGUUCAUGUGUGGGCCGAAGUAACUAGAUGUUGUCUUGAACUGAUGCUCGAUAUGAGGCGGUGCUCCAUCUGAAAUGAUGCUCUACUAGAAGUAGCACAUGCUGCAAGGUUGCUCGGCUCGUGGCUUAUGUUGCCUUGGUUGGCUCGGCUUGUGGCGUUGGGAGGUGAGGGAGUCCAUUUUAUAAAAUAAGGGUUCGCUCCUCAAUACAUAAAUGAUGGGCUAGAGUUGAUACUCGCGGCGAGGUGGUUGCUCAAUAGGCGGCGAUACUCUCUAAUGGUGGUAAGGGAGUCCCUUUUAUAGAAUAAGGGCUCGCUCCUCAAUACAUAAGUGAUGGGUUAGGAGUGAUGCUGGCGGCGUUGCUCUCUAAUGAAGGUGAGGGAGUCCCUUUUAUAAAAUAAGAGCUCGCUUCUCAGUACAUGAAUAAUGGGUGAUCUCUAAUGAAAGUGAGGGAGUCCCUUUUAUAGAAUAAGAGUUCGCUCCUUAAUACAUAAAUAAUGGGCUAAGUCCCCCAAGUAUUUUUCAUGAGGCCCAGUUGAGGCCCAAUAUAUGGUACAUAGUGUAGUUCCCCAAGUCUUCGUUCAAUAGAGUCUGUUGGCUGGAGACUUCAAACUAAAUCCAUAUAUGGGCCAAAAUGGCGGUUGUUCGGAUAUGGUAUUUGUAUACCUUGCACUGAAGCUUUGUAGGUGAAACUUUGCAAACUAGAGCUCUGUAAAUGAAGUUUUUAAAGCUAAUUGACAUAAGUGAUGUUCAUGAAUGUUUAUGUUGAUUGACAUGAGUGAUGCUCAUGGAUGUUGUCAUGAGUGAUGCUCAUGAAUGUUAACAUGAGUGAUGCUCAUAAAUGUUGACAUGAAUGAUGGUCAUGAAUGUUUAUGUAUGAUUGUUAUGAGUGAUGCUCAUGAAUGUUUAUGUAUGAAUGACAUGAGUAAUGCUCAUGUAUAAUUUGGAAUACUAGGCGUACUUUUGAUCACCUGGUUGGUGGCAUGAAGGAGAGUACGAGUUGUAUAUUUCAUCACCUGGUUGGUGGCAUGAAGGAGAGUACAUAUUGUAUAUUUCAUCACCUGGUUGGUGGCAUGAAUGGCUAGUUGCCAAAAUGAUAUUAGAGUACGGGUUCUACAUUUUAUCACCUGGUUGGUGGUAAUAGCGGCAGGUUGCCGAAUAAUUGUGGAGUACUGGGCGUACUUUUGGUCACCUGGUUGGUGGUAAUAGCGGCAGGUUGCCAAAUAAUUGUGGAGUAUUGGGCGUACUUUUGGUCACCUGGUUGGUGGUAAUAGCGGCAAGUUGCCGAAUAAUUGUGGAGUACUAGGCGUACUUUUGAUCACCUGGUUUGUGGUAAUAGUAGCAGGUUGCCGAAUAAUUUUGGAGUACUGGGCGUACUUUUGAUCACCUGGUUGAAGCUAUUUUGGGCUUAUGGGCAUUCGCCCUCCACAACAUGCCAGCCCAUUUAUUUUGGGCUUUUCCGGUUUUUUUUUUUUUUUACCCUCUGAUGGGGUUUAUACAAAUGUCUCUAAAAGAUAAGAAAAAUAAAUUACAUCAUACAUCUGUCAAAAAAGUAAAUCACAUCAUUAUGGGGGGUGUUUAUUCCUUACUUUUGCUUUCUCUGAAAUAUUCUCCCAACGACAUGAUCUUUUUUCUUUUUCUUUUUUGUUCCUUUACCCUGAUCUCUCCACCUCCAGGCACACUCACUUGCUUUUGCUUUCGUUUUUUGAUUUGAUUUUCCUUUUCUGAUCAAGUACCUGACAGCUUGGAAUAUAUUGUAAUCAAGUGACCAGAGAGUAGGACUAGUGGAUACCUCUCUUCUGUUUUUCUUUUCCUUUUGGCAUAAGGUAGACAAAAGUAAUAGUAGUAGACUUAUUAUUGAGAAAGCUUAUCUUCUUCAUGAGUGUCUCCACUGGUGGAUGAGAGGUAGCCUAUGUAAAAGUCUUCUUCUUGGCAAGAUCGCUAGAAGCGCCAGAAGCUUUUGUGGAAGAAUUAGAUGUAGCAGGCUGCGAAAGAAAUAAAUGCAGCAGGCUGCUGUGAGCUCUUAAGCUGCGGGUUGGCGAUAGCAUGGCUGCUACCACCACUUGAAUACGAAAGAGUAAGAUCCAUCUGAACGAAAUUCGCUCAUACCCAAGGCUUCAACAACUCCACUCUUAUCAUCCAUUGAAUUUCGAAGAAGACAAAGCAAAGACUCCCACAUAUUUCUAUUAAGAGAAUCCCCAACAAAAACUAGUCGCUUUCCUCUCAAUAGUCCCAACAUGUUCUUACCAUCUAACCUUGGAAGAUUGCAAUGUUUGAGUUGCCAUCUAUACUUUUCGUAGCAAUUAUCCGGCCUCUUAUUAAGAAAACAAUUGAAGGAUUCAUCAAUAAAAGGAUAAGAACCCGGAGCAUAAAGCGGAUACGAAUCAUCUCUCACCCACAUUCCAUCAAACAUGUCACAAUCAUCCCUCGAAAAUUCAUAACCGGGCUAAGUUUGAUUACUCUGCUUCUUAGAUUCAGACAAUGCCUCACUAGCAUCAUCACUCUCUAUCGAGGUCAAUGCCACUGCUUGCCCCAAAACCCCAUCAGAAUCUUUAGCAAAAGAUUCAUUUUUUCUUGAACCCUCCAGUUUCUCGGAAAAUCCCAUUUUCCCAGUUACUUGAAUCGUAGUGUUCUGGGACGAAGUCUGAUUGGAUUCUUAGGGUAAGAAAAGAAUUGCGUUUGGCAGUUGGGCACUAGCCAUAUCAGACUGCAAACCUCCACUCUCAUCUAAACGUAGGAAAUAUUCAGCUUUCCAGGAAAAUGGGUUUCCCGGGAAAGUUCAAAAGGGGUUUUGAAGAUGUUCUUGAAGCCAAAAGGGAAAGAGUAGCCAAAUGGGUUGAAAACCAGGAAGAAAGUUCAAGCGAUGCAGACGAACGAGAAGCCAUAGGCAAAGGCAGCGGUUUUUCUGGAGGGGAAGAAAAUUGGGGAAGAAAGAGAGGGUUUGGAGAAGGCCUCUGGUCUUGGGAUUGUGGGGGAAUGCUGGUGCUUUGUGGGUUUUGGGGUUGUCUGGGUUUUUGUGAUUUUGCAGAUUCACAGUGGUGAGAUUUGAUGAAAAAAUGAAAGAGAACUGACAUAGUUUUUAUGUCGUUUCCCACAGACGGCACCAAAUGUUGAUGCACAAAACCAGAGGUCUUGGAACAACAUAAAUCCGAUCGUGAAUCUGCAUGAAAUGUAAAUAACACGAGAUGUAUCGUGGUUCACCCCAAGAUUUGGGCUACAUCCACACUGAUUAUGUAUUUAUCUGAGAGGUGAGGGAGAGAACCUCUGAAUAUGAGAGGGGAUGUGAGAGGGGUGAGAAGGCUUAAGAAAUGGCCUCCCCUAAUUGUAAGGGUGAUGGGUCCUUUUAUAGAAUAAGGACUCCUCACUCAUUACAUAUUUGCCCAUUCCUUUAUCACAUAAUUACAUUUAAGUCCCCUGAGUAUUUGUACGAGAUCUAAAUACGAGGCCCUAAAUAUGGUAUAAACACACUUAAUCCCAACAAAUUUGGCACUUUAGUUGACUUCUUCUAUAAAACUUGAACCAUUCUCCUAUUGUUCACCACAAAACCUGAGUUUUCUUGUUUCAUCAUUUUCAAUAGGGUUCCUUCCCUUGAGAAUCUUUGCAUUUUUUACUGUGAGUAAACUGUGUAAAAUUUGAAUUUUCCCAAUAUAUUUGGCUUCGGUCAGGUGAUGUAGUGGCUUUGGUCGAUUAUGAUAACACUACUAAAAACAUUAUAUAUGAUAUAUGUUUUAUGAAAGGUUUUAUGGCAUGAUAGGUUUUCGGAAAACCUAUUACAUUUUUAGUCAAAAUGGUCCCUGAGAUUUGCAUGACACAUCACUUUGAUCCUGGAGAUUGAAAAUCAAUAGAAAUGGUCCCUGAGAUUGUCUACCAUCCAUUAUUUUGGUCAUUCCGUUAAAAACUUCAUUAAGUGUUCUGGAGCUCUUGGCCGAAAGUUUGGACAAUUUUCAAAGUUUCGUAACUUAAUCGUUUAUUAACCAAAUUCAAACCAUGAUACAUCAAAAUGAAGAUAGGAACGUUGAGAAAAAUAUUAUACCUAUUUAGAAGCCCAAUGGUUGUCGUAGAUGGCCGAAAAAUAGCCUGAAAGGUGACUGGUCCACCGGAAAACUGAAAAACUCGUUGGAAACUGGGUAAACUUUAAACGUUCAUAACUUCUUCAAAACUCAACAAAAUCGAGUGAUUCAAAAACAAAAAUCAUACUUCUCGACAAGAAAAAUAGAAUGAUACCUUUCUUGAUGGCUAAAUCAUCGUGCUUUGGCUGAAAAACGGCCCGAAAAUUAUUGUCUUGGUCUCGAGUUAGCCACUUUUAGGCCGUUUACGGACCAAACCACGACGAAUUAGUUAUCGAGAAAGGUACCAUUCUCUUUGUCUCAUCAAUAAUUAUGAUUUUUGUUUUUGAAUCACUCGAUUUCGUUAAAUAUUGAAGAAGUUAUGAACGUUUAAAAUUUACCUAGUUUCCAAUGAGUUUUCCAGUUUUCCUAGGGACCAUUCACAUUUCAAGCUAUUUUCCGGCCAUCUCGGUAACCAUUGGGCUUCCAAAUAGGUAUAAUCUUGUUCUACACUUUCCUAUCUUCAUUUUGAUACAUUAUGGGUCGAAUUUGGUUAAGAAACGAUUUAGUUACGAAGUUUUGAAAAUUGCCCAAACUUCUGGCCAAGAGUUCUGAGACACUUAACGGAGUUUUUAACGGAAUGACCAAAAUAAUGGAUGGUGGACAAUCUCAGGGACCAUUUCUAUUGAUUUUCAAUAUCAGAGACCAUUUUAACUAAAAAACCUACAUAUUAUUACUAUUGAGUUUUCAUAAACUUUGGGGGUUAGUACGUUGAUGAAUAACUGUUUCUGUAUUACUUAUAUAUCAACUUGGUCCACUCAUGUUUUGUUUUGUGCCCCCUCAAGAUUUAGAAUCGAGGCAUACAAUCCUGACGUUAGGGUACUCCCGCAUCGGCAUCUUUAAGUCCUCUCGGUGUAGGACCCAUCCCUUUGUUCAUUCAAUUUUAUAUUAUUCCUUUGUAGUGUCUUGGGUUAGUUAUAUGCUCUGAAUACGUUCCACAAUUGCAUAUUCAUUAUAAUUAAAUUUACAACUUUUAUUUAUGUCAGUUAUUUGUUUUUAGUUCUCAUGCAUCCUUUUAUGGUUUCGUCACCUUCGAGUGUCGGCCAGUACGUGUCUACCCCGAUGUUUGGAGGAUAUCAGGGUCGGGCGUGUCACAUAGGUACAUAAGUAUCGGUUCAUAAGUUUUGGUAACAAUAUAUCGAUACAUAACUUUUAAAACGAAUGUAUCUGUACAAAUGUAUCGGUACGUAACUAUAGUAUUUAAACAUACAUAUGUACGUAAUAUGCAUAUACAUAUAUAUGGAGAAAUUCACGCACAAUAAAAAAAUAUAUGAUAAUAUAUGACUUCUUUUAUUAUGGAAACUUAACAAUAACCAUCAAUGAUAAAUAACAUUUUUAUUAUUUAUGGGAAUCAAUAUAUAACCUACAAACAAAAAAGUCAAUAAUUACUACAACCUAUUUAAUAUUAAAAAAUUAUAAUUAAAUGCCAAGGAUUAGAAUGAUUUUUUAACAAAAUUUAAUGAAAAUGAUUUGAAAAUUUUGAGUUUUACCGAUAAGGACAAAAUAAAGGGUAAAGUGAAUAAUACCAUGAUUGAUUUUUUGGUGUAAAAAUAUGAUUUUUCGUUAAAGUGAAUAGUAUCAUGAGUUUUUUUUGUUAAAGUUACCUAGUUUUUAAUCUUAGACAAGAUUUUAUUCAAAAAGUAAUCUUAGACAAGAUUUUAUUCAAAAAGUAAUCUUAGACAAUGAUUAGAAUAUAAUUUUAAUUUUUUUUUAACAAUCUACUGUGAGAGACAGAGAGAGUAGGCUAAGACUAUAAGAGCUAGUAAUAAUGUAGUUCAAAUUUACUUUUAUAAAAAAUCAAACCUAAAAUUUAUCAUUUAUAAGUGAAAAAAAUAUCACUAAUUGUAGUAUUUAUCUUUUAAACAUUAUACACAUAGGUAACUAUGUACUUUUCCCGUGUGAUACACCAUUGGAAGUGCUUUUCGGAACAGCGUGCAUGUCGCUUUUGAGAUAAGAUCUUGUCCAAAUGUCCAUGGCUUCGUGACAGCUGUGAGAAAGUGACGAUCAACCUACAUGCAAGUUGCUUGAGGGAGCACAAGUGCUCUGCCAACUUUGAGUAACUGACGAUCACAUACGGAAAAUGAUUCCGGAUCAUUUUCUUAGGAAUUCUGUAAUCGUAUAUUAUGUGAUCAGAAAUUAUUUAAAAUUUAAAAUUUAAAAUUCAAAUAUAAAUAGUACAUAACGAAAACUAACUUCAUGAUAUAUGAUGAACAAACAUAAUUACUAUGUAUGAUGAACGAACAUAAUUACUAAAUCCCUUGGAAAAUGAUCAGCCGAGGAUCAUUUUUCCGUCACAUACAUGCAUGUUGGCAGAGCACUUUGAAUUGGGGCCCUAAAUAAGUCUUCGAAUUGGCUCUAAAGUAGUAAAAUGUACUGACACGUGGCGCUUUAUACAUUAAUAUGUAGAAAAAAUUCUGCUAAAUACAUGAAAAAUAUAUGGGUAAAUUACAAAAAAACUACCAUAAUUAUUGAUUUUACGACAUUUUUAUACCUCAUGUCAGAGCUCUGUCAGUUUUUCUGUUACUUUUCUUGUUAAAUGCUGACGUGAACCUCGGCGUCAAUCACAAGAGACUGAAACCGUUUGUAGGGUUUGUAUGGACGACAACGACAAGGAGGCUUGAGCUCACGGCGUCAAUCAUAAGUGUCUUGAGAUUUCAAAAUUGGGGAAAACAGAGAAAAUGAGAUGGAUUAGGAUCUGCAGGUACAUUAGUCGAUCAUCCCCUCUCCAAAGCAUUUCCGGCGACCUGCCAACGGGGACCAGCGGAGUGGCAGCGAUUGAAUAGAAGGACGACGAUGGCGGUGAAGACGGAGACGAACAGCGCGAGGCAAUUGAAGAAACGACAGAGAGUUGGCUCUGCAAUGACGCCAUUGGAGAGAGGGAAACCCUAGGAAGAGAGCUAAGAGAGGAGAAAUGUACUGGUUUUGAAUAGCCUGAUACUACAGUGAGAGGAGAGGAGACACGUGGGUGAUUGAAAGGUGCGAGGGAAGCUCGCGUGUGUUUGAGAUUAGAAUUAGGACAGCUAGUUGUGCGGGAAGUUGAGGAUCGCUUUGGCGCCCCGAAGCUUGAAUGCUGCUCGAUCGUAAGCCUUGGCUGCUUCAAUCGCCGUGUCGAACUGGAUCCACUCAGUUUUGUUGGGAAGCGAGAUUAUGAGUGCUGGCUUUCGGAAUGGGUUAGCGGGUUUAGGUUGCAGGGAAGGGGAAAGAGAAGGAAUAUGGGUUUUGGAUUUGGGUUGCGGGAAAGGGGUCGGGGAAGAUAAGGUGUUUGGUUUUUUGUUUUUUGUUUUGUUUUUUUGUUUUUUUAAGGGUAAAUUAUUAUUUUUAUUAAUUUUUUAAUAAAUUGUGGAAUCCGAAUCAAGCCAUAUCAUCAUUUAACCGAGAAAUUCACAACCAACCCAAUGAAUGUAUAAUGGACCAAAUUUUAGAGAUGUGGUAUGACAUUGUCAAUUUUAAUGGAUAAAGUAUGAUAGUGUAGUGAGACGAGGUAAUUUUUUGUCAUUUACCCCAAAUAUAUUUAUGCAUCAAAUACAAUUAAAAAUUAAUAUAAAAAAAAUCAAAUACAAUUAAAAAUUAAUAUAAAAAAAAUAGAGAUAUACAAGCAACAACUACGCCUGUUCCACUACAUCAGCAUGCUUUCUAUGUCAUGUAUUUGACUUUUAUCCUAUUUAUAAGAGAAAUAAAUAUAUUAAAAAAAAUUUGGAGCCCCAAAAAAUAGGACGUCCUAGGCGGUCGCCUUACUCGGAAGAUUAUGCCGCGUAUCAAAAUAAAACUAAGACAACGUUGUCCACAAAAUAGAAACAUUGGGUUGGGUUUCAGGUCGUCUUCUUAGAAUCGCACGAGGCCCCUCUGAGUAGUGAGUACUAGUAAGCAGUAACAUACUAACAUGGAGCAAUUCAAAGGGCAGCCUCGGCUUCCGAAAUUCGCCUUGCCGAAACGGUACGACUUAAGGCUGAAGCCAGACCUCAAAGCUUGCAAAUUCAGCGGCUCCGUCGCCAUUCUCGUCGACAUCGUCUCCGAGACCCGGUUCAUCGUCCUCAACGCUGCCGAGCUCUCCGUCAAUGCCGUUUCCGUCUCUUUCACUCACACAGAUUCCUCCAAUGUGUAUUAUAUACUACUGAUCUCAUCUGAUCAUCCAUGCAAUUAACUAGGAUGCCUAAUUUGAAAGCAGACACUCCUCGAUUAAUUGUUUUAAUUUCCUUUAAGUGCUCCUGCUGUUCUGUUCAUGCUUUCAAAUAAUUAAUAACUGGAUGGAUUGAUUAUAUAAAUUCAAGUUAUGAAGCACCGAUCAAUUUAUUCAAUCCUGAAUCGAGGAAACACCAAAACACAUAUAUAUGUACUCUCCGUCUCCGAUACGACCACCCGAAACGAGAGUGUUUUUUACCCUACACAUUAAACUUUGAAGUGAGGGUUGCGUUCAGGCUUCUAUGGAUCCACAUGCUAAAGUAUUGCUGACGGAGGUGGAAAUUUUAUUAGAGCUCAAGAAUUUAUCGGGGUUUACUGCUUGUUAGGAUUUCUACUUGUUGGGAUAGGAAACAGGUGGAAUGACGGAAAAGAGAGAGAACAGUUUAGUGGGUGACUUUUGAAUUCUUUAUCUUUAUCCAAAAAUUAGUUUUACAUUUUUAAAUCUUUUCAAAAAUUAAAGGGCAUCAUUUAAUUUCAAGUUAACCAGGGUAUUAUACAGGACACGUGGCAAGCUCAUUAGGUGAUGGUGAGUAGAAAUGUUCCCAUUUAAUUAAUGUAAUCAUUUCAAUAUUUACUAUGUUUUAAAAUGAUUUGUUAUUAUCACUGAUUUGGUAAUAUUCUUUUUUAUUUGGAAGUGUUCGAAUCUCGUGAAUAGCAAAUUCGAUACCAAAUUAGGUUGCUCAUUGUAUGACUUAGUCGAACUCCCCCUCCCCUAGUGUAAAAAUAUCGAUGUACUAAAAAAAAAGAAUUUUUAUUGACACUCCAAAAAAUAUCAUUUGUACUCCAAAUUUUCUAUAAUUAAAAAAAAUACAUUGAAGUAUAAAAUGAGAUUUAUGGAGUGCUAAUAACAUUUUCCAUUUUAAAUAUUUUUAAGGUUAAAAAUAUAAUUUUAAUAUUUUUCAAUUGUAGCAUAAAUUUUGAGUUUUCAUGAAUGGCCGAACUCCCCUCCCAAAUCCCGGCUCCCCUAUCCUUGCUACAUUUUUUUUUUGAACAAACGAUAUUAUUUACAUUGAGGGGGAGAGGUGGGUUUAGCCUCACAAUGGGCUAGCAAUAAUGUGGUUCAAACUCACUUUUGACGAGACUCGAACCUAAGAUCUGUCACUUACAAGAGAAGAGAAGAGAAAUAUUAUUAAACCGUAAUACUAAGUGGCAUUCUUGCUACAUAUUAAGAUGCUAAUUUUUUUUUUUUAACAAACGAUAUUAUAUAUACACUAAGGGGUACGGGAGUGAGCUAAGCCUCACCCUCACAUUGGGCUAGUCAUCAAUAAUGUGGUUCAAAUUCACCUUGGCAAAAAUCGAAUAUAAAACCUAUCACUUACAAGUGAAGAGGAAUAUCACUAACCGUAAUACUAAGUGGCAUUAAGAUGCUAAUAAUAACAUUAAUUUUCAACUUUUACUGCCUUGUUUGGAGUACAAGACAAAAGUCAUUGACAUAACCGGAGGAAUUAAAGGCUUAAGUGGCUAUUGAGAUGAGAUUUUGCUUUUGGAGUUUGGGGAGACAUUCCGAUUGGAAGGGGAGUUUUGGCUAUUUUAUUUGAAGGAAUUCUGGAUGACAAGAUGCAGGGAUUCCAUAGAGUGUAAUGCUCCUUGAGUUCCGGAUUCGUUAUCCUGUUUGUUUAUCAACUUUUGAUUUUUCAAUGUGCCUAUUAUAUUUCAGUGGUAAAAUUUGAUUUAUCCUGUGCAGUAUGUAUGAGCAUAACGGUGAGAAGGAAUAUAUGGCUGCUACACAAUUUCAACCGGUUGAUCCCAGGCGGUGCUUUCCGUGUUGGGAUGAACCUGCUUGGAAGGUCGCUCUCGAUUUUUCUCUCUGAUAGUUGAAUUAGUUGAAUAAAUCUUGAUAUAUGUUUGUAUCUAGUCAUUUUGUAAAAUCAAUAUGGAUACUUUCGCACUGCUUAACCGCAGCUUUGAGUCUCAGAAGAAAGAUAGGUUUUUAUGGGAUAAGAAAUCAUUCCUUAAGUUAUUGUUAGAUUGUUUUACUAGGAUUGUUUGAAUUGACCCCAUUUAUUCUUAUCGAUUGGAACUUUGAUUGGCAGGCUACAUUUAAGAUUAGACUGGAUGACGUUCCAUCUGAAUUAAUUGCACUGACCAACAUGCCCAUUAUUGAAGAAAAAGUGGAUGGACAUCUGAAGACUGUUUUGUAUGAAGAGUCACCUAUCAUGUCGACAUACUUGGUGGCCAUUGUUGUUGAGUUGUUUGAUUACAUUGAAGAUCAUACAUCUGAUGGUAAAACUCAUACACAACAUCUCUUGUUCUGUAUUUGUUAGUAACCGUUUCUUGACAGUGUCAUAUUCCAUCUCCUCACAGGAGUCAAAGUGCGGGUAUAUUGUCAAGUUGGUAAAGCAAACCAAGGGGCGUUUGCUCUGAACUUUGCUGUCAGCGCUCUUGAAUUUUACGGAGAGUAUGUUUAUGGAUCUCAAAAUAACUCAAUGAAUCCUUUCUCUGAUUUUUGUCCCCUUCCGUGCUUAUGUUCAAUUGUUUAUCAUUUGAUAUGAAAUCAAUGACAAAAAAGUUCUACAGUUACUUUGCUGUGCCAUACCCCUUGCCAAAAUUAGAUAUGGUUGCAAUCCCUGAUUUUUUUGGCGCCAUGGAGAACUAUGGUUUAGUUACAUACCACGAAACGGUUUUGCUCUUUGAUGAACAUAACUCUUCAGCUGCCAACAAGUAAAUGGUAACAUACACAUACUGAAUGUCAAUCUUGUUUUCAUAAUUUAGCUUCAUUCUAGCUAUUGUUUUUUAACCUUAAUCAUUUCAUUUUGUUUUUGUGGAAGGUUGCAACUGUCGUGGCACAUGAAUUGGCACACCAAUGGUUUGGCAAUCUUGUGAUGAUGGAAUGGUGGACGGAUUUAUGGCUAAACAAGGCAUUUGCAUCAUGGGUAUCACUUUCUUCAUUUGUUGUACUUGUUAUUUUAUAUGCUUUUAGACUUAAAAGUUCAUGUUUUGACGUCAUUAGGUGAGCUAUUUAGUUAUAGACAUCUUGUUCCCAGAGUGGAAAAUAUGGACUCAGUUUCUUCGCAUUGAAGUUAGUGGGGGUCUUAAGUUGGACGGGCUUGAACAAUCUCAUGCCAUUGAGGUACUUCAAAUUGGACUAGGUCUUCCACAGAUUUUUUAUUCUGUCUGAAGUUUUAUUUUUCGCGGCAUAGGACCUUGAUCACCUGCAUAACAGGCUUUAAAUAGAAAUAUGCACGUAUACUUUCACAUUUGUAGUAUUUCUUGUACACCUUAUUCCCUUUUUUUCGCUAGGUGGAUAUUAAUCGUGCUUCCGAGCUUCAUGAAAUAUUUGAUGCAAUAUGUUAUGAUAAAGGAACUUCUGUUGUUAGGAUGCUACAAACCUAUCUCAGUGCCAAAUGCUUCCCGGUUGGUCUUUUGGUUUGUUAGCAAUUGUCCUUGACGACUAAACCAACAAUCUUAUUUAUGAGAUUUUUUUACAUUUAUUCCAUGGAAAUUUCCGAAAAAUAAAGGCUUCAAGGCAUGCAGGAUUAAAAGAGGAUAUAUCCUGAAAAAUGAUUAUUCUUUGAGAUUUUUGUUCACUCGUCUUCUGGUUCGUAUUGGUUAUCAAAUACGUUUCUCAUGAAAGUUACAGAGUUAACCGCCUGCUAUUUUUUCAUGCGUCCAGAGGUCACUUGCUUCGUACAUAAAAAAGUAUGCUUCAUCAAAUGCAAAGACAGAAGAUUUAUAGGCUGCCCUUUAGGAGGGAUCGGGUGAACCAGUGAACAAGCUAAUGAAUUCAUGGACACAACAAAAGGGUUACCCUGUUAUAUCUGUCGAAGUCAAAGAUCAGAAAUUGGAAUUUGAUCAGGUUUUUCCAUAUGUUGCCUUCCUUGAAAAUCUUGUUUGACUAUCAGACGAAAUUCUAAACGAACAUCUCAGAGGUCUAAUGCACUUUUUUAAAGUUUUUAAAUCGUUCGUUUAGGUUUUAUUCCAUGGUACAAAGAUCUAAUAAGUUGAUUAAUAAAUGGCAGACACAAUUCUACUUGAGUGGUUCCCAAGGCAACGGGCAAUGGAUUGUGCCAAUAAUAUAUUAUGUUGUGGCUCCUAUGAUGCACGCAAGAGCUUCUUGCUACGAAAUAAGUCUGAAACUCUUGACGCAAAGGAAGUUUUGGGUUGCUCCAUUGCAAAGACAAGAUCGAGUUGGAUAAAAGUCAAUGUGUAUCAGACUGGUUUUUACAGGGUGAAAUAUGACGAGGAACUUUUAGCUGCUCUUGGAUAUGCUAUAGAAAAUAAACACUUGUCUGCAACUGACGGAUAUGGUAAUCACGUUUUUAUGCUCACACACUUGUUUAUCUCUUCGAUAGUGAAAUUGGAAGUAUUCAGUUCAGCUUUCAUCAUUUCUUUUCCUUCAACAGGAAUUUUGGAUGACUCGUUCGCCAUUUCUACGGUUUGCUUGCAGUCUUUUGCUUCAUUGCUUACCUUGUUGGGUGCUUACAGAGAGGAACUUGACUAUAUAGUGUUGUCAAAUUUGAUCACUGUAAUGAUCACCUCUGCAUUGUGUUAAUUUUCUGGACUUAUAGCCUUAGUGUAAUUCAUGUUUUCACCUUUCACAGAUAUCUUAUAAGCUGGCAAGAAUUGCAGCUGAUGCUGUACCGGAUCUACUGGAUCUUAUUAAUCAGUUCUUUCUUAGCCUUUUUUAGUACUCUGCAGAGUAAGCUUGUUCUCUUUUUUUUUUCCCUCAACUAGCCAAGUACCUAAAAGGUCAUACCCAGUGCACAAGGCUCCCGCUUUACGCAGGGUCUGGGAAAGGUGAAUGUCGGCUAGCCUUACCCCCAUUUUAUGGAGAGGCUGCUCCCAAGUACCUAGCUAGAUAAAAAUUCUUUACGCAGACAUUGGUUCUUUAAUGAAUAAAAAUGGGUGUCCAGUUGGUACUGCCUACAAUGAUAUCGUUACAUUAUUUCAUGGCAUAUCGACAAAUUGGUAUUCAUGCAUACUGUCUAGGUAAAUACGCUUGUGUGAUGAUAAGAGGGCUGGAGCAAAAUGUUUUAACACUCCCAAACUAUCCACAAUUUUGCUUCUUUCUUUUCGUUUAUUUAUAUAUUUAAAUUUGGUUUUGUUUCCAGGAAGCUUGGCUGGGAGCCUAAACCGGGUGAGAGCCAUUUAGAUGCAAAGUUCAGAGAAGAAGUUUUAAUUGCCCUUGCUGUGUUUGGACAUGGCCCGACAAUAAACGAAGCAAGUAGGCGUUUUCAUGAAUUCUUAGAUGACAGAAAUACGCCUCUUCUUCAUCCUGACAUAAGAAAGGUUUGUUUUGUUGUAAACCAUUAAUUAAACACCUUUUAAUUCUCUGUUGAUCAUCAUUAUUAGUAACUCUUAAUUCUUGCACUGCAGGCAGUGUAUGUGGCAGUAAUGCAAAGAAUGAACAUGUCUGACAGAUGGGGCUACGAAUAUCUUCUUAGAGUUUACAGAGAGACUGAUCUGAGCGAGGAGAAAUCUCGCAUUUUAAGUAAUACUACUGAUUAAUUUGUACAAUUAAGGAUGUUGAUCCAACAUCUGAGUUUGUUAUGUCGUUGGAAUAAUAAUGUAUCUGUUUGUGCCUGUAGGAUCACUAGCAUCUUGUCCAGAUCCGAACAUAACACUGGAAGUUCUCAACUUUUUGUUGACUUCUGAGGUAUUUCUGAUUUUGUCUCUCUUAAUUGCAGGUUUAAAUUGUAAUUAGGUACCACAACAUUAGAGUAUCUCAAACCAAUUGUGAUUGACGAUACUGGGUUUAAUCCCAUCGAUUGCCAUCGAUGUAUAUAGGUACGCCAUCAGGAUGCUUCCGCUGUGCUGUCCUCAGUUAGUAGGGAAGGACGGGUAACAGCUUGGACGUGGCUGAAGGUAACUCUCAAUACCACUAGUUUCUAAUGAGCAUGCAUACUAUGAAAUGUACGUACCCACAUUCUAUGAAAUGUACGUACCCACAUUCAUGGAUUUGGUUUCUUUCCUGGUCUUGUUAAUAUGGUUCAUUUUGCCUUCGGGGAUGAUAUCCGAAACACAGGAUAAUUGGGAGCACAUCUCAAAAUGUGUUCUGGAUUUCUAAUUAUUCAGAUUGUCAGUGAAAUUGUUUCACCGGUUCGUUCUCUCUCUCUCUCACUCUCUCUAAACUUUUAAUUGUUCUCGUAUCUGGGGCCUUGUAUCCUUGUGUAAUUACCUUCCUUGCUACGCAGCUAGCGUCAUUUGAGAAGGUUAAAGAUGUAGAUGAGUUCUUCAAAGUCCAUCGUAUCCCCUCGAUAACUAGAACCUUGAAGCAGAGCGUUGAGCGGGUGUGUUGAGGAAAACUGAGAGUACACUGAGGAUCUAACUCAGAAAUUUCACUGUAAAUAGACUUUACCUUGUGGAAAUAUUCGGCAAUCGUCAUGUCUUGUUGGGCCACUGAUAACAACUCGUUCUCAAGGAACUGGAGUCUUGUAUCGUUCCUCUUUGAAAAGAGUGUGGCGAAGGUAUCCCACGCUUUUUUCGGUGUCUUAGCCUUCCGUAUGUGCUCCAACAUGUCAUCCUCGACUACGGUUUUUAGGGCGAACAUGGCUUUUCCUGCCUUGAUCUUCCACUUUUGCAGAGCGCCGUUGGUGUCUUAUUCCGGCUGCGUAACUUCAUUACCGUCGACGACAUCCCAAAGAUCUUGGCCUUGUAGGUAAGACUCCAUACACGUCGCCCAUGUGUUGUAAUUGUUGUUGUUCAACUUUUUUUAUUCCUCCAACAACUUGAAGAUCUCCCAUCGUGUCGGCAGAACUUCGAUAAGCCGAACAAAACUAGUCAACAAUCUUGCGAAGUACUAAACUUCUCACGAUUCUAAAAUGCUUCACUAGAGACGGUCUCUAAUCGUACCGCUCUGAUACCAAUUAUUGAGGAAAACUCAGAAUACAUAACUCUAACACAAGUGUUGAAAAGACAACACAAGUAAACAAAUUACUUGUAUUAUACACACAAAAUAUUACAACACUCACAAAGACAACUUUAAAAGCAAUGACACUCACUUGUUUUUUAGAGACACACUUUAAAUCACUCACACUCCUACAAAACUAUUCUUACUUCUUCUUGAUUGGUUCUUUCUUGAUUGAUUGGUUACAUAGCACCACACCCAUAUUUAUAGGCAUGUUUGCCGACCUCACUAGCACUUUCUAGUGCAUAUUCAUGCACACACUGCACCGACAUACAAGCCCUUCUUAAUUGCCGACUUUAUUACUUGGCUAAGAAUGCCCAUCUAGAUUAUUCUUUAGUGUUUUAGAUUACUCUAGAAUUUGGUUUGUUAACCAACUUCUUAUUCUAGAGUUAUGUAGGAAUUUCUUCACAAAUAAACUAGGCUUAAUUAAAUAUGGGCCUUUUGGGCUGGUGUUGAUUCUUCAACAGGGUGCGAAUCAAUGCCAAGUGGGUUCAGAGUGUUAAGGGUGAGAAAGAUCUUGCCGAUGUUUUGAAGGAGUUGGCAUACAGGAAAUACUAGCUUUGAUAGAAAAAAUGGGUCUGGAUUUUCCUCGGUUAUUAUGCAAGUUACAUAUUUUCCAAAAGAAGAAUAAUGGGACAUGGAUAAAUAUAAAUGCACUGUCAAAUUAUAAUACUAUAUUUUCGAGACACAUAGUUUUUUAUCUAUUUCAUAGAGGGACAAAACUUAUCCAUAUGGCAGGUGAUGUCAUGGUUGCUUUUUUAAUUGUCGUAUUUGCAUUAUUAGAGUUACUAAACUAGACAGCUAUAUCGGCCAAUCGAUAUGCUGACCUCACUCGGAGUGCGUUGGUGUGAAAGUUGAGAAUGCAAACCCUACGUGCUAUAACCGAGAGAACUAAAAAAUCGAAUGAAACAAGUGACUUGCAUGUGAAGAAAGUGACAUAUUAGGGUUUAGGUGUCGAAGGGGAUGCAUGCUUAUGAAAGGGACUGCAAGUUUUGCACAUAAUUAAUCCCAAAAAUUGGUGCGUUAGUUCAAAUUACGGUUAAACUUUCCACGUCCGAAGAAAUAUUUAAGCAGUGUCGACAGAGGUGAAAAAAGGAGUGCCUGGAGUGAAGAUGAGUAUCAUUUCCUUUGUCGUCGUCUUUGAGGAAUUCAGGUGGGCAGGGGAGAGAUCCGUCAACACAAGCAAUCAAACGGUGGCUCUUCAAAACUAGAACGAUCUCAGGAAGCAGAAAGGAAGACGGUCAGCAGCAGGAGGAUUGGUAGAAAUGGUUGACGCGGUGGGACACGCUUGCAAGGGUAAGCAGGAUCGGAAAAAAAGACGGUGUGAAAGAGGCGUAGGCAGAGAAGACGACUGAAGUGAACGGCCUCGAUAACUCAUCAGAGGCAUAAGGUGUGUAUUAUAUUAUCAUGCUGUACAAUGAAUACAUUUGAUACAUGUGAUAUAUUGAGUUGAUGAGAUACAUUUGUACAAUCGAAGACUAAAAACAUCUGAUACAAUGAAUGAUGAUUCUAUCGUUUUAACACCUGGCAGGUGACGAAAGAAUUGUUUGUCAUAAGCUCGACUACAAGUACGCUGUCUCUGGAAAGUGAUGACAACAUGAACAAUAAAGCUAGCAGUUUUCAAUGUGCAGAGACAUCGAAAUGGAACCCAAAGCACGCUGUCUUCAGAUUUCUCAAAGUUCAGCCACGAACCAUUGCCAUCUGCCAUUUUCUUUUCGAGGACACUAUUGGUCUGGUUCAAGAAAUCAGGAGCUUACUAUCCUUGAACCCGUCAGUUCUACCUGGUCACUUAGCAUAGUGUUUCUAUUCCAGGUGGUUCUUCUGUGCUCACUACAUUCAGCAACAGAUGACAUUCUCAGAACUGAACAUUUUGGACAGCCCCAACCUUGAUCACUACGUUAUGAAAACCAGUGCAUUAUCACAUAGUGCAUCAUAAAACUUUGCAUACAAAAGCUUGAAGCAUAGCCGCCCGUAGACCACUUUUGGAUGCUAUUUUUCCUUGGAACAUACUGAGAGAGGAUCUCACAAGUUCAUAAACCUGAGCGACCGCUCUGCAAAUUUUCUUCAAGAACUUCUAGAUGAUGUGAGCCGAUGGCGGACAUAAUUGCAAAAUUGAACUUUGACUGACAUGCUCAUAAGUCACAGUGCAGUCCAGCAUCUUUCCAAGGAAAGCAUCGGUUAGCCAGAAUACAUAGUGAAUUUCCCUGUGUAUUAUAUAUAUCAUCAGAACAUGUAAAAAAAAAAUAAGAGCUGCAAAAUGACUAGAAAACAUGCCGUAGAACAUUUCUUUUGACAACAAGAAGUACAUAGAUUGGUAGUAAGGCCAUCACUCACAGCCAUCCAAUGCAAGAAAGUUUUGCUUUUUCAGAUCAACAGCAAGAACACACCUUGGUAAAUCUAUGAUUCAGGCACAACAGCUUUACCUUUAUAUUAGUCGCCCUGAAAAGGUUGCAAGGAACCCCACGAUCUUCCAACUUUCAGUUUGACAUGCAACGGAACUGGACAACGAGUACUUAAAUUAGGUACAGCAAACAAAUGUCCUCAAAUUAUCGAGCAUUAAGCAAUGUUCCAGAAACUUUAGAAAUAUACCACGAAGCGAAAUAGCAUUUUCCAUGCUCCUCUGUAGCAGCAAAGCAGCCUCCUUUAUCACAACAGGAUCAACUUCCAGUACUAAUUCAUCAUGCACCUGGUUAGAAACAACCAACAAACAUUGUUACAUGAGUUGCCUUGUAAAUGAAGCAAAAUUAUAUUUAAUUAACAAAGCUAACAAGAUGCUAAAUAUUUUAGUUUCUUAAUAUCUUCCUCUACAUUUCGAAUUGACCAAAGAACAUAAAAUUAUAGAAUUGUAAACAGAAUUUCCAAAACCAACCUGUAAUAAAAUUCGGCAGCGGCCCUUCAGUACGUGUAACUUUGUUGCAGGGUGAGAAGAAGAAUCAGGCCUUUCAACACCUUCAACUAUCACGGAAUAUAUAUAUUUAUCACUGCAAUCUUAAUUAUGUCAGCAGCAGAUCCCUGUAAAAGGAAGACAUCAGAGAAAAAUACUACACUUCAGUGAUUACCUUUAAACACCCACACUCCUCAUCCCCACAGAAGGGAGGGAAAAAGUCAUACCUGACUGACAUAUAGAAUUCACAGCUUCUCUGAGCCUUUGACUUUUCUUUACUAUUCCCAAGUUUUAUUUUUGACAAAAAGCGCUUUCUUCCCUUAGGGUUUUGAUAAGUAUUUAUCAAAUAUAGCCAAAAAUGAAUCCUUAAUUUCAAAAAUGUCAUUUUUUAUAAAAAAAUUUCAAAUGUAUCCAAAAUUCCACUUAAAUAGACGCAAAUACCCUCAAAUUUAACAAUCAAAUAAAUUAAAGGUUUUUUAGCCAAAAUGAUUCGUGACAUUGACAUAACUCAUUAAUAUGGUCCUUAACAAUUAAUGAUAAUCAAUAGUAGUGUUCUUGAAUUUGUUAUCAGUAAUCAUUUUAGUCUUUCUUUGAAUUUAUCCAUUGUGAUCAUUUUAGUUUUUUCGUGAAAAAUCUAUCAAUUACUCUGUUAGCGUGAUGAUGUGGCACCAUGUGGGUUUCACAAAUACAAUCAUAUAACGACAUGUGGAUUAACUUUAAAAACUAUUUUUUUAUAUUUAAAACUAAAAAUGAUAUUAGUAAGAAAAAAGACGUUGACGGCAUGAUUGAAAUUCUACUACUCGCACUUGCGGUAACCGCAGUGGGGCUCAAUGUCAGUGAUGAGGGGUCGAAGGGGAUAGGGUUGUGGUGGAGUGUAGAAGCGAAGGUGAAAUUGGACCGAAGCUUGAGGCAACAGUAGCUAAAACGCCUUUAAUUUAUUUAAUUGUUAAAUUUGAGGGUAUUUGUGUCUAUUUAAAUGAAAUUUUGGAUAUAUUUGAAAGUUUUUAUAAAAAGUGACAUUUUUGAAAUUAAGAGUUAAUUUUUGGCUAUAUUUGAUAAAUAAUGCACAUAAUGAACAGUUGAAUAGCUUCAAAGAAAUGUUUACAGCAUUGUAUUACAAGGGAACUAACAGACUCUUCUGGAAUCCCAGUCCAUCUAGCCGCUAUCAUGGUGAAGACAUCACCAUGGGAUUACUAAGGAGUUCAAUGAGUGCAGAGUCUUUAGAGAAUGUGCCAUCAGCCGCAAUUCUAUCUGAGAAUAAUCUGCAGUUACAACAAUAAAACAAUUAACGUACACCAUAGAGUCAUAAAUCCCAUCCCCUUCUCCUAGUUAAUAUCCCACAAAAAAUUUCCUAGUCUGAAUAUAUGACAAUUCUGUACCAACCCUCCCCCACAUCCUCAUCUACUCGAGAAUUUUGUUGACUUUUAUGGUAUAAAUAUAAUAAUUGUUAAAGUUCUUUGAAUUAGCUGGGUUUCUAUGCAAGUAAGAAAUCUGAGAGAAUAGAGAAAGAUGCAAUAUGAAGAAAUGCUCUGCUCACUCUCAAAGUCUGAGAGGUGAUAUUUUCAUAUAUAUCUCACAGAACACACGCACUAAGGCAUAAGUACAUAACUGCUAGCCUUAGCUGGAUACACACAACCAACAAUACAAUCUCAGCCUUACACUUGUCAUAAUCUAAGACUAAGUGAAUAUACAAUUCAAAACAAGGCUUAUUUACUUUAACUUUACUUAGCUCACAGCUUAUACACUAAUAAUAAUAACACACAAAUGGCCUUCAAAUACAAGAGCAAGCUGAUCGUUACCUGAGUAGGAAUGAAGUAAUCGCGAGCAUUGAUGUUCAAUUGAUCAACAUCAGUUUCGUUUCCAUUUCCAUCCUUAUAUAUUUUAAAGUCAACCAUAUGUUCAACACACUGCAUAAAUCAAAAAGAACAAAAUGUGAUAAGAUAGUAAUGAUUAAAUUUUGUUAACGACUGAAGGAGAGGGAAGAGAGAAUAAAACGACGCAUGGGAAACCCAAACCUGGCGAUUUGGUUCCUCCAUUAAAGGCGACCAGUUGCUGUUGAUGUUUGGAGCCAAUGACCAUGUAAUGUGUACUAAUUCUGUGUCCUCACAGAGCCUACCCAGUGAACAAAUUGAUACCAAUGUACAGUUUAAAAGUUUUGCCAACGUACGAUGCUCCUUAAUGACGGGAAUUAUGGGAUGCUCAUCCCUGAAAUGAAAUCGAUUAUAGGAUGCUCAUCCAUCAAAACAAUGAGAGGCUGAUGCCACAAAAUCAAGAGAUUCAAAUGUGCAAGCAAGAAUACUUUAAUACCAUCUCCUUCAAGUGUUCAAUAUUCAAACAAAACAAUCUAAAUGGGAUGGAAGCCUCUAUGGAAUCAAAUAACUAAAUGGUAAUCCUAUUCGCUUGAGUAUUUAUAUUUCAACAGCUUAUUCACACCUGAGAGGGGGUAAGGUUACGAAGUACGAUAGAAGAAUAGAAGUCUCGCUAAUACCUUAAUAAAUCCAAGCAGUGCUUGUCCGUACUUGGGUGUUGUUUCCCCUUGUUGCGGCCCUCUGGUAUGGGCAGCUUUUAAGUGUGUUGUGAUUGACUCAUAUUUUGAGCUGACAACAAUGAAGUGACCUGUGUUUUUUUGGUGGAAAUAUCACAUGAUGUGGGCUGCAUGAAAGUUGCAGACAAGUGCUGCAAAGUAAAAGCAAAAGUGGACAACAAGCCAAAUGUUUUUCGGCUAAUAAACUAAACAAAGAAAAGUUGUGUUGUGAUUGACUCAUAUUUUGAGCUGUCAACAAUGAAGUGACCUGUGUUUUUUGGUGGAAAUAUCACAUGAUGUGGGCUGCAUGAAAGUUGCAGACAAGUGCUGCAAAGUAAAAGCAAAAGUGGACAACAAGCCAAAUGUUUUUCGGCUAAUAAACUAAACAAAGAAAAGUUUGGUGCACAUCAUCAUGAGUAAAGACACAAUGAUAAUGCUUGUAAGAAAAUAGAAAAAAGUGGUUGCUUUUAGUUUAAUGAUUAUGAAGAAAUGUGAUGAUGGAUUGGCCUUUAUUUAAUGCAAGGAAAUGCUUGCUUUAUGUGUGCUUGCCGAGAGAGAAGGUUUGCAUCAGAAAAGCAUCCAAGGUGGAGAAAGCAUUUGGUUCUCCCAUGGGAAAGGUUAAACAUGGGUUGAGAGAAAAUCAAGAGAGCUAGAGUGAAAAGUAUUAUAGUGAAAGAACUCUUGGGUAGAGUGAGGCUCUUGGGAAAAUGCUAUGAGUGGGUGUGCAAGGGAUUUGGGAUUGAGUUAUGUUGAUUUAACUCAUGUGUACUUGUACUGUUAUUCAUAGUGAAGAGCAAUAUCUCUUCGGGGACGUAAGCAUGUUUUUGCCGAACCUCGUAAAUUUUUAGGUGUCUUUAUUUCUUGUAUUUUAUUUUGUUCAACUGAGUGUGAUUUGGUGAGGUUGUAAUCUGAAUCUCGUUUCCGCACUAACGAACACGCCAAGGCACAACAAAGUGUCCAUACAUAGAUUAGCAAAUCUGGUGCCGUAGAUAACGAAAAUUUCAUGCCAGCCAACUUAUAGGCUUCCUUCUCAAGCUGCCCUAGCUUUUUUCCUAACACCUUGCGUGCUUGUAAGCAUCCCUCCAUGUCAAGACCCACUCCCCAGAGCUCCAUGUCGGCAAGAAUAUUAACCUAGCAUACAAAUAAGCAAUAAGCUAUUGUCGAAGUGGUUGGGUUGGGUACUGGUUCUCAAGCACCCAACUAAACAGUGGUCAUGCAUUUAAAUCCAAAACAAACAAUAGCAAUAAUGUAAACCUCAAAUAAAAUGAAGCUCCCUCAAAAAAAUUAAGUCAGAUGCUAUGAAAGUAACUUACCAAUGGGAAUUCAAAAUCUAGGAGGGCUUCAGUGAGGUCUUCAGCAACAAUUAACUUCCAAAGAACAGAACAUAAGGCUCAUAUUUUUGCAGCCCGAUGGUAGCAACCGUUAUGUGCAGCUCUUCGCAUCUGAUUCUUCCACCUGCCAUUCCGAUUAGCAGCUGAUGCAGCUUCACUAGAUAACCUUUUCUUAACUUCCUAUAAAUCGUUCUAAAAUCUUCAAAUGCAAAUUCAGUAACGAUGAACAUGUAAAUAUUGAAUGAAAGAAUUAUAGUUAAACACUUCUGCCUUUAAGAAAUGCUUUGAUUGAAAUGAUGAAGUUUCUUUUUUGGGAGUUUUAACAAAAUACUCCUGGUACUGUUCACUUUUAAUGAAAAACCAUAUUUAUACAUUUCCCUGGUAUUAUUCACUAUAUCUUUAAAAAGAAUUUUCAUUAAAAAAGAAGUUUUUUUGGAUUUUUCGUUAAUUUUCCUUUAUAUGAACCGGAGGCAACAGGAGAGUUUUCCCAACAGAUGGCUAUGCCAUGUAUUUCAAAGGGCGCAACAGAAUUCAAUUCCGAUCGUUUGUUGUAGUGAAUAUCAAAAUAGAACUCUCAGAUGGAUCCCCAGAGAUCCAAGAAGGAAUCAAAACCGCCAAGAGUUUUAACUCCAUGAAUAGGGCCUUUCCCACAAGCAUUGCUUUUAUAGCUAGAGGACAAAUUCUCCCUUUUGUAGCGUUUCUGUUUUUCAAGAGCAAGAGAGUCAUCAGAUGCCCUAGUUCUAUCAAUUAAGCUUUAUAACUCAACCCGGUCAGUCAAAUCAGUACUUUUCGUUUAAUCCAUCGCAGCAGUAAGAUAAUCCAGCCCUCGAAGAUGUACUUUAGAAUUGUCAGCACUAGACUUAAUUUGCAUGACACCAGUUCACUUUACUUCUGCAGCCUUUUCAGAAUGAACCCUACCUUCCAAAGAUGCUUUAGCAGCGUACUCUGUGCUGCGCUCUACAUUAGGGAAGCUACUAGUGGAGUUAUCACCAGAGGAAUUUCCUUCUCCUUGCAUACUGGGACUUCCACCACCAGUUAAAAAUACCGGUCCAGAAAACCGUGGGACAUACAUGUUGGUGGAUAGUCGCCAAAUUAGUGGCCAACUUGGCAUUCACUUUCGGCUAGAAAAUUAAACAAAGAAAAGUUUGGUGGACAUCAUCAUGAGUAAAGACACAAUGAUUAUAUUUGUUGAAAAAAAAAAGGAAGGUCACGAUGAUGUUUGUAAAGGAAUGAUUAUUCCUUUACUUUGGAUUUUUUUUAUUAAAUGCUUUUGUAUGGAUAAAGGUUUUCAGCCGAAUGAGGGAGGGAAGGGGGGAGCGGCAGAUGAGAGAAACCAGGGAGAGCAUUCGGCUCUCCCAUUUGAAUAUGAGCUGCUCCUUCCCACCAUUUGUAAUAAUCUCAUUUUGUUAGUAAUCACUCAAUCAAAGAUGUUGGUGCUACUUGUUGUGUUUGGUUCAUACAUUUGUGAGUAAUUAUGAGUCAUGUGUUAACAACAAUGAAGUGACUUGUGUUUGCUUUCGGUGGAAAUAUCACAUGGUGUGGGUUGCAUGAAAGUUGCGUGCUGCAAAGUAAAAGUAAAAGUUUGGUGGACAUCAUCAUGAGUAAAGACAUAAUGAUAUGCUUGCUUUUGCUUUAAUGAUGAUGUUUGUUUUUUGCUUUAAUGAUGAUGCAAGACACAAUGAUGAUGACUAUGAUGGCUAUGAUGCAAGAACUAUUUUGUGCGCACCAUUCUUGAUCUUCUUUGCUACGCCUACUUGGAUGCGCCUUUGAGCUGAACCUUCUGCAGUCAUAGUAUCAUCUUACCAAUAUUAGGAAAGAAUGCAGGAAAAAUACGCAAUAAAAUCAAAAUAACUUUAAGAAAUAGUAAAAUAAGUUAUAAAAGAAAAGUGGGCAAAAACUCAUCUUCAUAAAAUAAAGUACAUAAACUAUAGAGCUAGAACCAUCCAUAUGAACAAAUAUUAUCACAAUCCCGCUGGCAAACAAGCAUAUGAAACAAAUGCAUCUGAGCAAACUUACAUGCAUUUAGAAAGCUAAUUGUUGUACAAUACUUGACUGGAAAGAGUACCGUUGUGCAUUUCAUUGAAAGACCAGAAAGAGAUUCGCGUUCAGAAAAAGGUCUUGGAAUUAGUUAUCACACACUAAAAUUUUCCUUCUUAGGCAGAAUUCUUUUCUGUAGUUACUGGUUUGUAAUGUUACAUAAACUCAAUUCCUUUUUUAAAGGUCAAAGAGAAUGCAUGGAGUAAGCUAAGAAACACACUUCGGGUUUUCAGAAUGUCUCCAAAGCAAAGAAAUGCUAAGAACUAAGCUAAGAAACAAUUAUUUCUUAAUAGUCCUGGUAACCAUCACAAAUCAAACAUAGUUUAGAAGAACAUGAUCUUAUCAGGACAUCAGAUGAUAUUAAGAUAUCAUUUACCAGGAACUUAUCACAGGAAACUGAGAAGCCGUGUACUAAAAUUAGAAUCUUAUAUGCAUCACCUUGUUCGUUCCAUGAUGAAAAUUCAAAAAGAGCUUUGACUAUUUCAGGGAUGGACGCUUCAGCAAUUGCUAAAGGAGUACGCAAGCCAGCUUUAUAGAGUGCCCUCGCUCGAGAACCCUACAGAUCAGCACAUACCAUUUACAAAUAAAUAAAUAAACAUUACUGUUGAGCAUAUGUCAGGUAUCAAAAGGAGGUUACGAAUGUGACUGUAGUUCACAUACCUUGAUAUAUGGAAUUGUAGUAAGCUCUACAAUCUCUGCUCUCACUCCAAAUGAAACACGAUUUUGAAACUUGCAAACCAAGCCCUCUAAAUCAUGCCAUCCACGCCUCUCACAAACACAUGGUUAACCAUCGAUGCAAACCUUUCUCUUGUAAGGCCUGCACCAUACCUCUAGCCAUUUUGAAAGCUUCACGUACUCAGUGAUAGCAGCUUCCUUCACCACAUAUUGAAGAGUUCACAUUUAGCAAGGCAGAAGUCAACAAAUCUCACAAUAUCCCAUAAAUAAAUAAAUCUAAACUGAUAGAUACUUUUUUUUUUUUUUAGAAACUUCGACGGUACAAGGUAAUUUUAUUGAUAACAAAAAAAUAAGUUACACCUAGUUUGUGGAGACAUAAACCUUACCCCUAAAAAACAGAGACAACAAAAAGGAAUACACAAAAAAAAAGAGGGAACCUAAACCUUACCCUUCUAGAAACAAAAAACGAGAAUGAUACAAAGAAAAAGGAGGGGGGACAUAAACCUUAUCAUUCUAAAAAAAAAAAACAAGAAUGAUACAAAGGAAAAGGGGGGACAUGAAACCUAACCCCUCUAGAAUCAAACCUAAAGGUCUAAACUUGCAAAAUAAGUCAAAUGACAUCAUAAAGUUAGGAGAAAACAAGAAAGUGAGACAAAUCUGGAUGCCGACAUGCACAUUAAUUUGAGAAGUGGUAAUCAGACAAGUCAACAUAGUCUGAAAACAUAGUAGCACGAACAACUAUCGAAGGAGAAUCAUGCCAUGUAAAACUGAUGGAUACUCGAAAAAGAAAAAGAGCAAAAAUUUAAAUUACAAGACGAAAGGAACAAAAUGUAUGUCACCUCCCAUGUGCGUGUGUAUAGAUGGUUGAUUUCGUCAUAUCGAGUUCAUUGAAGAGGUGAAGUCAAAGUUGAUUUGAUGCUUCAAUUAUAUUGUUUUCAUUUCGAUUCAGGUGAAUAAGUAGAAAGUUUAUAUAAAAAUAAUAUUAUUUACUCUAAUUCUAUAAAGUUUAGUAAGCAGUUCUAAUGUGAAAAUCCAAUUAUGAUUUUUCUACUUUCUUUUCUUUCAUUUUACUUACAAAUUAGUAAACGAGCUAUAAUAAGAAUAUCACCAAGAGAGACUUUAUCCUCUAUAAAGAUACUAUAUUUUAAGCCUUAAUGAGAAAUGAGGAGAAAAAAUGUGUGUGAUUAAUAUUUAUCGUUUAACAUGUUGAAAUUAAGUAUGCCACAUAUAAACAACCGAGCUUUAUCGUCCUUACUUGAACAACUAAACAGUAUUCCACGAUUUCUUUCGCUCAAAGUAAAGCAUAUAUGCCCCUAAUAGAAUCCACAUUUUUGUAUUCUUAAUUAAAUUUUAAUAAGAACAUUUAAUACUACGAUCUAAUGUUAUUAUUCUUCACUUGUAAGUGAGAGUUUAUAUUCGAUUUUCACUAAAGACAAUUUUGAACCACAUUACAGCUAACCCAUUAUGAGGCUAAGCGUAUCCUCUCUCAUUUAUUUAACAAAAAAAAUUAUAUAACAAAGUUAGAAAUCAAAAUGAUUUUUUUUCUCUUAUAUUCAUUUUUAGUAAUUACAUAUGCCUUAAAAAUAAACUAAUUGACACAAAAAAAAAAACACAAUAACUGAUCAAAUCAAACAUUUCUAUAUAUAAGUGUAUUCUUCUCCAAAAAAUACAAAAGAAUGAUAGAGACAUCAAAAAACAAAUGUUUUUAUAUUAUAUAGCAUUUAAAAACAUAUGUUAGAUUAGAGGGAAUAUAGAAUAUAGAAUAUAUAGCCUCUCGCUCAAAAAAUAAAAGUAAAAUGUAAAAAAGAAAAAAGAAUUACAGAGAGACAAGUACAGUCGAGAAAUUCUAUAAAUUGGAGCGAGGAGAGUAGAGGAAGAGUCCCGCGCGGCAUCUCAGCGAGCGAUCGAUUUAGGGGUUUUCAUCAGAAACCAGAACAAGUUUACAAACAAAGCGAAUCGGCUUACAAGUUCACAAACAAAGCGAAUCGGCUUAGGGUUCGCACUCUUCCUGUUCUCUGGAGAACCAGCAUUGCAUCGAUUACUGUCUUCGGCUCUGCAGAGAGCCGCUGUAAGGUUCGAUUUUGCCCCUCUCAUUGUUUUAAUUCGUUAAAUUUUCACUCGCGAAUUGUUUCUUUGAUUGGUGGUUGUAUCUGGGUUUUAUUCGUUUGAUUUAAUUGUCAGAUUUUUUGGGUUGGUUGAAAAGUUUUGGAAUUUCAUGCAUUUGGGGAUUGUUCUAUGUGUAAUUAUCUGUGGUUUUCAUCAUUUAAUUAGUUUUUUUCCCCCUUCGGAGGUCUUCGGGAUGUAAUUUUGAUUGCUUAAAUCGGAGGCACAAGAUAGUGCAGUGUUAGUGUUCCAGGAUAUUGGGAGUCUGGGAUUCUAGGGUUUGUUUUUGUAUCAAUUGAAAGAUGUUUUAUUAAUUAAAAAAAAAGAUGUUUUAUUAAUUUAUGGAGAGAAGGUCUUGAUUUGUUAUCGAACAGUUAUUUAAGUCUUAAGAUAAGACAAAUUUAGUACUGUCCUGAAUCAGUUUCACUUCGCUUGAAUGUAUUCCUCUUUAUUCCUUUGAACUGCAGUAGUGUUUUCUGCUUAAGAUAAACCGGGAUUGGUAACCGUAGUGGAAAAAAAAAAAGAUUUUUUGGGUGUAAAUUGUUCUCGGGAAUCAUUAUCUUCUUACAUUAUUGACUGGCAAUUGUUCUAUCAAAAUAUUGGUAAUAGGUUUUUCCUACUUUUUCAGGUUAACUGUGAGUCUGCUUUUGAAGAGGCCUGGUGGGGGAAUAUGGAACAAGAUACACGGACUGAAAAGCUUGAAUUUACAUGGGGAAAGAAGAAAGGAAAGGGAGGGAAAAAUAAGGACGUUCAGUUAUGAAUCUUUUACUUUUGAUGGUGAAGAGUACACGCUGUAUGAUUGCGUUUAUCUUUACAAGGAAGAUGAACCUGAGCCUGAGAUUGGAAAGCUAAUAAAAAUAUGGGAAACUGGUGAGAAGACAAGGAAAGUUAAAGUUCUAUGGUUUUUUCGUCCUUGUGAGAUUUCAAAUUUUCUUGGAUGUGAAGAGGUACUUGAGAAUGAGUUGUUCUUGGCAUCCGGUGAUGGUGUGGGCCUUGCGAAUCUUAAUCCAUUGGUACUUACAUUUUGAUUUAUGCUCUUAACUAAUUUUAUCAUUUGUAUUUGUUAGAAAUGGAAUGAUUAAUUGAUCACGUAAAGGUGUGGUAUAUAGUUUGUUAGCCUAAAUGAAUAUAGUCUUUCUGAUUUUCAAUCAAUAAUGAUGCAGGAACUUUCCAUACUAUAUAUCUUUGCAAUGCUAUUGUUUCUUUUCUUCGUUCUGCUGCCAAGUUUGUCUUCAAUUUUUCACUUCAUUUUUCACCGAGUUGACUAAACCGUGCAGUUUCUUUUAUAGAUUGGUUGACGUGUUUGAAUAUAAUUUACAACAAAUUCUACUUCUCUGAUAUAGUAGGACCGUGAAACAUUGUUAAGCUUCUUAGUGUUCUAUUUUUUAUAUUUCUUAAAAGACUCUAAUUGGCAAUCCUUACAACUUUGAUUUCCAGCAAUACAAUAAGAUUUGCAUUCCCCUUGUGAUGACAUAAAUUGUGUCAGAUUACAUGUUGCCCCUCUCUCUCUCCCAGAUUACAUGUUGCCCCUCUCUCUCACACACACACAAUUACAAAUACAUGCUAAGGCUGAACUUGGGUUUUGAACUUUUGGUAGUAUUUGAUAGAUGUUAUAUCCCUAAUAGACAUGGUAAUAUUACAAGUGAGAAAUGGUUUCAAUUGGUAACUACAACAACAACAACAACAAAGCCUUUUCCCACUAAGUGGUUUCAAUUGGUAACUGAUUGUAAAUAUUCUUGCGCUAAAUGAAACUAAGCACUUAGAAAAAUAUAUUAUGUGCAUGUCUUGGUUAGUAGGAAUUGUAUUUAGACUUUAUAAUAUGAUAGCAUUGUAGCACAAUCUUAACAAGUUAAGAUGUGGACCAACGGUUAUGUUAUGUUCUAACACUGCCCCCCAAUCUUGGGACUCUCUUUAUCACAAGAGUUCAUUUGUGGAUUUCAAGCUUUGUUGGAAGGUACAAUUGCAGAGACUUCAACAUUGAAUUCUCAUGCUUUGAUACCAUAAUAAAAUUUUAUGUUGUUAAGAUAUAAAUCGACAAUUAUUUCAUAUUCUACUAUUAAAGAUCAAUGGUCUAGUUGCUGAAGUUUUAUAAUCAAAUCAGGAAGCCAUUGCUGGAAAAUGCAAUGUUCUUUGCAUUUCAAAAGACAAGGAAAAUCCUCAACCAUCAGAUGAAGAGCUUCAAAUGGCCGAAUUUGUGUUUCGUCGAACCUUUGAUGUUGGGCUGCAAAAAAUCACUGACAAGAUAGAGGGAGCAAUUGCUGGGAUUGAUGGUAUGUAUAUCUAUCAACUCGGACCCUUGUAGUUUGACUUAUAGUUGCAUGUUUAUUUUCAUAUUUUGAGUCUUAUAUCUUUGUUUAUGUAAUUGUUGCAGUUAAAUUCAUGUUUAACAGAAGGGAUAUUCAGAAGCCUGGUGGCGUUCUGAAAGUUGAUUUAGGAAAAAAUGAAGUUUGUGGGAAUUCCAUAGCAAGUAAUGAAACAGUGGUUCUAUCAAACAAAAAUUCAUUU
rnacentral:lncRNA from 1 species